rnacentral:rRNA from 1 species
AAUUUUUAUUCAUUUUAUUAAAAUUAAUAAAAUUACAUUUAAAUCCUUUUUCAAUUAAAUAAUUUCAAUUUAAUAUUCAUUUAAAUAAAUUUAUUGUAAUUCAUUUAUUCUAAAUUAUUAGUUACAUCUUGAUUUGAUUUAAUUUUUUAUUUUAAAUUUUUAAAUAUUAUAAAUUUAUAAAAAAUAUUUUUUUAACAAUGAUAUAUAAAUUUAUAAAUUAAGUAAAUUAAUUCGUGGAUUAUCAAUUAUUAAACAAAUUCCUCUAAAUAAAAUAAAAUACUGCCAAAUUAUUUAAGUUUCAUAUAAUAAUAUUAAUUACUAUUUUAAUAUUAAACUAUUUAAUUUAUAUAAUAGGGUA